rnacentral:tRNA from 1 species
CCCCCUGUGGCCUAGUGGGCAAGGUUACAGUCUUAGGAGCACGGGGUCGUAGGUUCAAGCCCAGCUAGGAACA